rnacentral:rRNA from 1 species
AGAGUUUGAUCCUGGCUCAGAACGAACGCUGGCGGCGUGCCUAACACAUGCAAGUCGAACGAGAAAGUCCCCGCAAGGGGAUGAGUAAAGUGGCGAACGGGCGAGUAACACGUGAGUAAUCUGCCCUUGGGUUCGGGAUAACACCUCGAAAGGGGUGCUAAUACCGGAUGAUAUCCUGAAUGCGCAUGCUUUCAGAAGCUGGGGACUCCGGAAACGGGGCCUGGCGCUUGAAGAGGGGCUCGCGUCUGAUUAGCUUGUUGGUGGGGUAAUGGCCCACCAAGGCGACAAUCAGUAGCCGGCCUGAGAGGGUGAUCGGCCACACUGGAACUGAGACACGGUCCAGACUCCUACGGGAGGCAGCAGUGGGGAAUAUUGCGCAAUGGGGGAAACCCUGACGCAGCAACGCCGCGUGGGUGAAGACGCACUUCGGUGUGUAAAGCCCUGUCGAUGGGGACUAAGACCUAUGCCAGCGAAUAACUCAGGAGAAUGACGGUACUGCCAGAGGAAGCCCCGGCUACCUACGUGCCAGCAGCCGCGGUAAUACGGAGGGGGCGAGCGUUAUUCGGAAUCAUUGGGCGUAAAGGGCGCGUAGGCGGUCUGACAAGUCCGCUGUGAAAGCCCACGGCUUAACCGUGGUUUGGCGCUUGAAACUGUUGAGCUUGAGUCCGGGAGAGGAGUGUGGAAUUCCCAGUGUAGCGGUGAAAUGCGUAGAUAUUGGGAAGAACACCGAUGGCGAAGGCGGCUCUCUGGACUGAUACUGACGCUGAGGCGCGAAAGCUAGGGGAGCGAACGGGAUUAGAUACCCCGGUAGUCCUCGCCGUAAACGAUGGGCACUAGGUGUCGGCGGGAUUAAUCCCGUCGGGGCCGGCGCUAACGCAUUAAGUGUCCCGCCUGGGGAGUACGGUCGCAAGGCUGAAACUCAAAGGAAUUGACGGGGGCCCGCACAAGCGGUGGAGCAUGUGGUUUAAUUCGACGCAACGCGAAGAACCUUACCUGGGUUUGACAUGUACAGGAUUGGCGGUGAAAAAAGCCGUCUUCUCUUCGGAGCCUGUACACAGGUGCUGCAUGGCUGUCGUCAGCUCGUGUCGUGAGAUGUUGGGUUAAGUCCCGCAACGAGCGCAACCCUCGCCCUCUGUUGCUACCGGGUAAUGCCGGGCACUCUGAGGGGACUGCCCCGGUUAACGGGGAGGAAGGUGGGGAUGACGUCAAGUCCUCAUGGCCUUUAUGCCCAGGGCUACACACGUGCUACAAUGGUCAGGACAAAGGGCAGCUACCUCGCAAGAGGACGCAAAUCCCAAAAACCUGAUCUUAGUUCGGAUGGUCGGCUGCAACUCGCCGGCCUGAAGCUGGAAUCGCUAGUAAUCGGAGAUCAGCACGCUCCGGUGAAUACGUUCCCGGGCCUUGUACACACCGCCCGUCACAUCACGAAAGCUGGCUGUACUAGAAAUCGCCGAGCUAACCCGCAAGGGAGGCAGGUGCCGAAGGUAUGCGGGGUGAUUGGGGUGAAGUCGUAACAAGGUAACC